rnacentral:rRNA from 1 species
CCAAUAGCGUAUAUUAAAGUUGUUGCAGUUAAAAAGCUCGUAGUUGAAUUUCGGGGUCAGUAGGUUGGUCAUGCCACUGGUAUGUACUGGUCUCACUGAUUCCUCCUUCCUGAUGAGCCGUAAUGCCAUUAAUUUGGUGUUGCGAGGAAUCUGGACUGUUACUUUGAAAAAAUUAGAGUGUUUAAAGCAGGCUAACGCUUGAAUACAUUAGCAUGGAAUAAUGAAAUAGGACGUUCGAUCCUAUUUUGUUGGUUUCUAGGAUUGACGUAAUGAUUAAUAGGGAUAGUUGGGGGCAUUAGUAUUCAAUUGUCAGAGGUGAAAUUCUUGGAUUUAUUGAAGACUAACUACUGCGAAAGCAUUUGCCAAGGAUGUUUUCAUUAAUCAAGAACGAAAGUUAGGGGAUCGAAGACGAUCAGAUACCGUCGUAGUCUUAACCAUAAACUAUGCCGACUAGGGAUCGGAUGAUGUUAAUUUUUUAAUGACUCAUUCGGCGCCUUACG